AAGUCUCCAGUGAGUAAUAAAACAUGUUACUUUUCAAGACAUAAGAAUCAAUAAUCACAGUGAAUUCCUUUAUUAUAACCGAGAUAUUGACACAAAAUGCAAAAGAACUACAAUUUGAAGGAAUCACAACGUAAUUACAAUAUACGUCCAACGACCACUUUGUAGCUCUCAAACAAAGCUGCAAUUUUUUUCUCCUGAUUUUGAUGGCCAAUUGGUCUUGAGGUCAUUUCUCCUGGUUUUGAAAGCAUAAUCCCUAUAAGGCAAUACAAAACAAAAGAAAGCAACAAUCUUUAAUUGCUUACUAUGUCACAUGAAGAAGAAUCAACAUAAAACUCAUUUCAUACACAAUUUUAUUUUGUUUCCCAAUAUCAAAAAAUCAAUGAGAAACAGUGGAUCUGACCAACAAAAAGAAAAUCACCAAAUGACUAAAAAGACCCUUUCAACAUCCACCGGUUCUACCAAUCACUUGCAUGAGACUCUAAAACCAAAUAAAACAGAGAUUUAGAAAAGGACUAGCAACCAAAUAAUAAGUCAUACCAGAUGCAGGACACAACCAAAUGCAGACAGCAGCUCCAAUCAACAAUACCAAUUACGUGUGGGUAUAUGAAUCAUCACUGACCAUGUUUCUCCAUUUAAAUUUAUCUCAUGCCACCAUAUAAAGUAAAUGAAAAAUAAAAGAUACUAGUUAAAAGCUAAAAGACUACCUGGAAAACCUAGCUUUAAGAAGAAAAAUCAACUAAAAAUAUAGGUUGUUUUUGCAGUCUCACAGAAUAGUAAGCUUAC
rnacentral:lncRNA from 1 species